rnacentral:rRNA from 1 species
AUUGAACGCUGGCGGCAGGCCUAACACAUGCAAGUCGAGCGAGCGGCGGACGGGUGAGUAAUGUAUGGGGACUGCCCGAUAGAGGGGGAUAACUACUGGAAACGGUGGCUAAUACCGCAUACUAUCGGAUAACCCAUAUGGGAUUAGCUAGUAGGUGGGGUAAAGGCUCACCUAGGCGACGAUCUGUAGCUGGUCUGAGAGGAUGAUCAGCCACACUGGGACUGAGACGCGGCCCAGACUCCUACGGAGGCAACGGUGGUGAAAGUUGCACAAUGGGAUCAGGGCUGGCGCGGCCAUGCCGCGUGUAUGAAUGAGGCCUUAGGGUUGUAAAGUACUUUCAGUGGGGAGGCGUUACCCGAAGAAGAAGCACCGGCUAACUCCGUGCCAGCCGCCGCGGUAAUAC